rnacentral:lncRNA from 1 species
GUAAAUAAAUUAUAUCAAAAUGGACGGUGAAAAUUGAAUAAUCUUUAAAAUUUGAGUAUAGGACUUUUAAAUUUAAGAUCAAGAAUGUUAACCUUAAUCUAUAUAGUUUAAAGUAUUUCUAUCAAAAUUUGAAGAAAUUUAGAUUCUUCUACACCGUUAAACUCCAAAUCGUCAUAAUAGCCAUUGAAAAUUGACAAUUUUGAAUAGUUUGAUCAAUAGAGUAAACUAUGUCGAAAAAAAUAUAAAUUUUAUUUCUAGAAAACUUUAAAUAGCCUAGAUCAGUUUUAAACGGUGUGGGAUCGUUGAUUUGAACGCCCUAAGAUCGAAAACCAAACUAUAGUACGGAGCUCGACUAUAGAUAGUAACCAGCCUAGCUCUAUAUAAUAUAUAAUAUAUAUAUAUAUAUAUAUUAAUAUAUAUAUAGAGCUAGGCUGGUAUACUAUCGUAGCAUACUAAGUUGUUUUCAAUGAUGCGGCUUCCAAAUCGACAAUCGCUCCGUUAACUUGAUCUACAUAUUAAAAGUAUUGUGGAAACUAAAUUUUCAUAAUUUUCGGUAUCAUUACAUAUCAACGAAUAUCUAAAAUGAACGGCUGAAAAUAAAAAUCUCAUAAAAUAGAUGAUAGAAAACUUGAAUUUAAGAUCAGAUGUAUUGAUCUUAUCAGAAUAUUGAUCUUACUCUAAAUAGAAAAAAAAUUUUCUAUAAAAAUUUUCAUCUGAUUUAGAUUGUUUUACACCGUUAAAUUUAGAAUGCAUCACAUCUACCAAUUAAAAUUGUUCAAUUGAGAGAUCUAGUUUGAUUCACUAGCCAAGAUGAAUGUGAAACAUAUGAUAUUAAUUUCAAUACUUUAAUAGUGUAGAUCAAGUCUAACGGAGCCGAUCGUCGAUUCGAAAGUCCGAACAUCGAAAACAAAGUGGCCCUCCGUGCUUCCAUAAGCAUACCAGCCCACUCUAUAUAUAUAUAUAGUAGGAUUACUGUACUCUUAUUAUGAGUAUAGAGUUUUUCGUACCCAUAAGUUAUUUUCGAUGAUAGAUUUUCUGAAUGAACGAUCCAUACCGGUAAAUAUGAUCUAGAAAAUUUGAAACUUCUAAAAUCAAAUUUCAUAAUUUUUUAAAAUUAUAAUAAAGUCUAUCAAGAUUAUAUAAAAUGAACGGUCAAAAUCGAACGACCUCCUAAAAUUAGAGAAUUGAAUUCUUUAAUUUAAUAUCGGAGUUAUUGUUCUUUAUCUAGAUAGUGAAUAAAAUUUUCUAUAAAAAAUUCAACCUAUUUCGAGACUUUUACACUGUUAAACUAACAACUAUCCCAUAUCGGCUGUUAAAAGUUGUUAAUUUUGAGAUUUUUUUUUAUCGUAAGGUAAAUGAUGUUAAAAAAUUAUAAAAUUUAGUUUUUAGAAAUUUUAAAUGUUCUAGAUAAUAUUUAAUGAUAUGAAUCAUUGAUUAAAAAUUCUAUCAUCGAAAACAGCUUAUGAGUACGAAAGCGAUCAUACUCAUAAAAGCAUCAUAGCCAUACUCUUUGUAUACGCAUUAUGUUACUCUAAAGAUAAUUUAUAUUUUAUAGGAUGAUUUUAUAUAUCAUUCUAUAUACCAAAAUGUGAGAUUGUUGGCUCGAAGGGUCAGUACCAUACCACAUGGUGGUAGAUUAGAAUGAACCGAAUCACAUUUGAAAUAACAGAAGGUCAAAUUAGAUCGAAUCAUGUUCGAAGUGAUGAAUCACAGUCGAAAUAACGAGAGGUCGAAUUGGAUCGAAUCAUGUUCAAAGCGAUGAAUCACAGUCGAGACCCGUAGGCGUUAAGGUCGCAUUAUUGAGGUGAGAUGGAUCCAGAAAAAAAAGAUGGUUUCCAUGGUUGGGAAGGUCAUAGUAGCAAAAGCUAUUGGAAUUGAUAUUUUAAUCUGCAUACUUCAAAUAAAUUGAUUCUAUCUUUCAAACAAAUCGAGCUUUUAGAAUUAAUGAUUAGCACCAACGAUCCAACAAAAAUUCUCUCAAAUGUUGAAAAAAAUUAUAUUUAAAAAGUGAUUGUUUAAAAUUAUUUUCUUCGACUGCUGCAGUAAAAUUGUUCCAAUACUGAAGUUGAGCCUUCUGUUCUCAACUAAAGCAGUAGCUAGAUUUAAAUAUAUCAAAUGAAAUGCCAAACAAUGCAGGUACAACCACGUACUACCAAACAGCCCCUAAAAGGUAAAAAAUUAAGUCGUAACUGGAUCCGCGCAAUCGGUGAAACGUAAUAUUAUUCUUAUGAAAACAAAUAAUAUAUAUACUAGAGCUAGGCUGGUAUACUAUCGGUAGCACGGAGGCAUUCGUGCUACCAAGUUGUUUUUAAUGUUGCGGUUUUCAAAUCGACGAUCGGCUCCAUUAGACUUGAUCUACAUUAUUGAAAAUAUUUGAAAACUAAAUUUCAUAAUUUUUCGGUAUCAUUUACCUAUCAAACGAAUAGUCUAAAAUGAACGGCUGAAAAUAAAAAUCUCAUAAAAAAUAAUGAUAAAAGACUUGAAUUUAAGAUGAGAUGUGAUGAUUUUACUCUAAAUAGUGAAAAAAAAAUCUAUAAAAAUUUUACCAUAUUUGAAUUGUUUUACACUGUUAAACUCACAAACGCAUCACAUCUAUCAUUAAAAUUGUCAAUUUUGAGACAUUUUGAUCACUAGCCAAAUGAUGUCGAAAAAUUAUGAAAUUUAGUUUGCAAAUAUUUUUAAUAGUGUAGAUCAAGUCUAACGGAGCCGAUCGUCGAUUUGGAAGCCGCAUCAUUGAAAACAACUUGGUAGCACGGAGGCUUCCGUGCUACCGAUAGUAUACCAGCCUAGCUCAUGUAUACUAUACUAUUUAUUGCACUUUCUUGGAGCAUGUAAAUGUCGAGGAAAUGUCUAAGUUGCUAAGUUUAUGUUUAUCUUAUAAUCCUUCUCACAAGUUAUGAAAAACCAAGAGAUACCAAACCAAACAUAAAUGCCAUCAAGUAAGAAACAGAAGAGCUGCUAAAAAUUCAAGUAAUUAAACAUCUAAAACAUAAAUACAAAAACACUUGUGAUUGAUAAUUACCACAGUUGCAAUAUGCCAGAAACAUGAGACAACACUUAUUCCAGAGUUCAAAACCAGAAUAACACUGGCUUAUAUAUAUUUAAAAAUGUUUUAAAAAAGAGAGAGCCAAAGGGUUCAUUAUCUCAAGCAUGCAAAAAGGGGUCUUAAGAAGGAAAACAUAUUCACCUACUCAACAUAGUGAUGGUGUAGGUAGGCUAAGUAAGAUCAACCGACAAUCAGCUUGUUCUCAUCCACGAAGGUGUAGGUGGGUACCUCCAAGUUGUACGGCGCGGGGCCCUUCCGGAUCCUUCCGGAAAUGUCGUAGUGCGAGCCAUGGCAGGGGCAGAACCAGCCUCCAAAGUCGCCCGCGUUGGGGAGCGGGAUGCAGCCGAGGUGAGUGCACACGCCGACGACGAUGAGCCACUCGGGAUUCUUCACCCGCUCUGCGUCCGGCUGCGGGUCCCGAAGGGACUGCAGGUCGACGGUGUUCGCGAGCUUGAUGUCUUCCUCGGUGCGGCGGCGGAUGAAGACGGGCUUGCCCCGCCACUUGACGGUGACGGUGGCCCCAGGCUCGAUGUUGGAGAGGUCGACUUCGAGGGAGGCGAGGGCGAGCACAUCCUUGGUGGCGGACAUGCUCAGGACGAACUUGAGGAUGAGGAGGCGGAGGAGGGAGGCGUAGACGAAGCGGCCACCGGUGAGGACGAAGUAGGCAAAGGCGCGCUUGCUGGGAUCGCCGGGAGGGUACCGCUCGUGGUUGUGCUCGUCGUAAGUGAUUUUGGAACUAGGAUUCUUCACAGCUGCCACAGUUGCUGGGAGGUCGGCCAGGCCGAGGUCCCCCCCAUGCCUUGGGACAAGGGUUUCAGUGGCAAAGCCUGCAGCUAAUAGUCAGUAUUUACAACAGAGAACUAUCUCAAAAAGAUGGAGAACUAAAAUUGUUGCCCGAUGUCAUUUAAAAGAAUGAACUCUUCCUAUUCAGCGGAAUCAAUUAUGAUUUGAAGAGCUAAAUCAGGUUAAAAAGUAAACUACGAAAAGAUAAAACCAAGAUUAUAGGAUCUCAUCGCAAAACUUGACCAGCUAAAAAGUUUUUAAUAGAUGUGGUCAAGCAAAAUCUUAGAUAACCCUUUCACUUCCAUAUGUACAUCAACUUUCCUAACUAAAUGAGAACAAAUGCAUUUAAAAACUGCAAGCUGGCAAAAAUAAGCUCUAUCUUCGCAAUUAGGCUUCCAUGUUUGUUAAAAGUAGUUAGUUCUUCAUGGAUAAAUAUUGAGACAUCAGGUCAUUACCCAUCUUUUUGCUGAGUUGGAAAUAGCUAAUAAGAUUUCAUUGCCGUACAACAUGGGAAUUUUGAAUACAAUAGCUUUUUAUUAUAUGAGAGAUAAAGCUAUCAACAAUGAGAAAGUACAAAGAAAACAAUUUUCUAAGACGAAAAAUAGACCAUAAUAUAGUACAUGCCUCCAAGAGGAAAUCAUACAACUCCCAGAAUCAAACUUUCUCGAUGCGACAUGCUAAUCACCAUAAUCCAAAAAUAAGCAUGUUCUACCACAGCGUCCAUGACUGUCUAGAACAGAACAUUUCAUAUUUGUAAUGAAUAAAUCAUAUUUCUAAUAAACAUAAAACAAGUUGUUCAAACAAUAAAAGAGGAAACAGCUUCAAGCGAAACGUCGAGUUGGGAAGAAUCAGGCAUCCGGGCAUUUUGUCUUACACAUUGACACUUACACAUUGACAUAUAAUAAUUACUAUGACAAUGCCCUUGGUUAGUUUGCAUUGAUACAAAUUUUCAUGCUAUGCUCAAAAGCUGAGUAAGUCAUCAUAUACUAUCAUAUAUAUAUAUCUAAUUUUGGAAGCAUGGUUCCAAUUGAACCAUAAGAUGCCACGUGGCGCACUUACAUGAAAAGUUCUAAUGUACCACGUGGCGCACUUAUCAUAAUAUAUAUUUUUUAAACUUAUCAUAAUAUAUUUUUUAGUUCACAAAUAUUUUAUAUAUAUAUAUAUAUAUAUAUAUUAUCAUUAUCAUGCGCACUUAUCAUAAGCAUAACUACACGUACCAAAAAAUAACUGCACAGCAGUUUUUUUUUUCCUUAACCGUAUGACAGUUAUUUUUUUUUGUAAACUGCACAACAGUUAUUUUUUUUUUCUUAACCAAACAACAGUUAUUUUUUCCCUAAACCACACAACAGUUUUUUUUUUUUUUUAACCGCACAACAGUUAUUUUUUUUUCCCUUUUUUCUUUGAUUGUGAGGUAUAUUCAUCUUUCACAGUUAAUAUCUAAAACGUUACAAAUUUUAUCAUCCAUAUAUAUGUAUUACAAGUGAAUGCCAUUAUUUUAUUAAUAUUAUCAUCCAUAUGUAUGAUAGAUGGAGACAGACUUAUUUUCUAUCUUUAUGCACCAUCUUUCUACAAAAGGCAAGUUUAUUCAAAAUUUGAAAAUAAUUACGUGUAAUGAUUUGGUCUGUUUGUAAUGUAUAUAUUAUCUUCUCUUUUUUUUUUCAGGAUACAUAUCACUAUCUUUGGAUUUCGUCAUAGUAUUGAAAUUUUCAGAGCGCAUAAAUAUUUGCCCCUAUCCCAAGAAAUACUCAAUAAUUACUUUUGGGAGGUAUGUUUGAUAUUUAUAUUUAAGUUUUUGAUUGAUUUGUUGAAAAUAAUUGAUAAACAUACAUGACUAAUUAUUCACAAUAACAAGAACUUUUUAGUUUAAAGAAAUCAUAAUAUGAAUCAUGCUUCACAAGUUCUAAAAAAUUACUUUCCAAAUUUAGUCACUUAAAAUUCUUCAAAAAAUAAGUUUACAAAAUUAGUCAUAAAGAAUUUGAAAUAAGAUUAAUUAUAUAUAAAUAAUAAUUAUGUUAAAUUUCUAAUGGAUUUGAACCUUUUUACUUCUUCAUUUUAAAAUCUUUUUAUUUUAAAUUAUUUACUUACAUUCUAUUAGUAUAUCAUGAUAGUAUUAUUUUAAUUUGAUUCAAUAAUUUUUCUAAUAAUAAAAGCUUAAUAUGAAAAAAUUAAUAUAUAUUAUAUAAAAGUUGUCAUAAAAAGAUAUUAAAAAAACUUAAUAUGUAAAAAUUAAUAUUAUAUAUUAUAUAAAAGAUGUAAUUAAAAGAUAAAAUUAAAAUCCGUGCAUUGCACGGGUUAGUUGCUAGUUUAAACAAAAAGCAAAGCACAUGUACUUUGAACUAGAGCUACAGUAAGGGAAAUUAGAAAGAUGAGCAAUAUUCACUAAGUUGCAACAAUCCAGGAUAAUUAUGCAUUCUAUUUUAACAAAAAGCAAAACACAUUUCACUUUGAAGUAAAACUACAGCUAGGGGAAUUUGAAAACAAGUAAAAUUCACUAAUUUGCAAGAACAUAUAUAUGAAAUAAAGGUUAUGAGUGAUCAUCUACAAUGAUCGGUCAUAAAUGCAAUAAUGUCAACUCAAGCACUAGAAGCAUGUGCUCGGUUAGAUCUAUCUUAAUAGCAGCUGUAACAACUACAAAGGAAAAAGAUUUUGUGCAUCCAGCAUAACGUUGACAGUUGAGUCGAUUGAAUCAAAUGAUGAAACAUCAUAUGCCGUCCAUUUCAUAUUCUGCGGUUAUUCCGAAGUUAAGAUCCGGACCAAAUCCAUUUUAUUUGGAACGGCUCUAAUGAGUGUAACUCAACAUUUAGGGAGCUUCUCCACAACGUGAAACAAUCUUUGCAAGUAAUAAUGUAAAAUAUUGUUUAACCGAUGAAAAUCAGUUUAUGCCUGAUGUCACACCUGUCCUUUAUAUUUCCUUUUUUUUCUUUUACUGUUCUCAUAAGGAUCUAGAAUUUAAUUUAAAUAACGUGAAAUUGAAUCAAGAUGACAUUUUAUGCGUGAACUAAAUUCAUAUGAUAAAAACUUGAGCGUUAAUGGCUCACCCAGAGGGACUUAUGCGCGAAAGUUCAAGCUAAUCUGAUAAUCGGACUUAUGGGUGAGUGGAAAUCAACUUACAUAAAUCAAGCUGCAAGGUAUUGAAUCCACAGGGGCUUCAUAUGAAAACAUGGAAAAUGUUGGGAAAAUUAGAAAACAAACCCAACCAUAUGAAGGAGCGGGUUUGCGCUUAUGUCCAAUUAGGGUAAAUUUAGGAUUUUGGAUUUCUCUCUAUUCAAUUAGAUUAUGCUUUGGUAGGGAUUAACACAGUAAAUGAGAUGAAGGAAAAUGAAAGAUGUAAGUGACACAGCACAUAUGCCAUCAACUACAACAACAAACCAUUUCUGAACGAAGAUGAACAAAAGCAUGGGCAAAUUUACCAAUACUAUGCGUGAGCACAUAUUUACCAUUUCUCAGCAACGGAUUAGAGAUUCUUAUUCAAAUUACUGGAACAAAGUGGCAUAUUACGCGGUUCGUGAACUACAUGCAUAAAUUAAUCAUAAAGAGAAGCAUAAAAAAGCAUCAAUAGCUACAAUCAGAACAAAAGCACAACGAAUUGGGCAUAAAUUAAUCAAAUUUGAUGCACAAAAGCAGCGAAUCAACCAAUCCCUAGAAAAUCCCGAUACGAGCAGGAUCCAAAUCGAAAGAAAGAGAUGAAAAGAUGAAGCCCUAACCUCUCGGAGCACCAAGCAGCCCGGAUCGGAAGGCGAUGAGGGGAUUCGAGAGGUCGCGCGAGCUCGAAUCGUCCACGGAGAAAGGGGGCGGGUCGGAAGCGUUGAUGGGGUUGCGGGAGACGAGGACGGAGGAGGCGGUGCUCGGGCGCCAUGCGAGGGCGGAGGCGAGCCUUCUCCCUGCGACCCUCAACAUCGUCGUCCACCUCUUCUUCCCCCUCUUCCUCUUCUUCUUCUUCUUCUUCUUCGAGGAGAGCAAUGGCGAGGGGGGAUCCGAUUUCUAGGGUUUCGAUCGAGAUCGAGGUGGGGAGAGAGAGAGAGAGGAGAGAGAGAGCGAGGGGGUAAUGCGACGGAAAAUGGGGCACAAAAUUGGUGGGGACAUCCCGCAACGAGGGAGAUAUCCCAUCACCCGUCGAUCACUCGGCGGGCGCGAAUUUUAAAGCUUGAUGAACGGCCGAUGGAGUGGUCUCACGCUGAGGCAAAUCCCCACCAAAUAUUUUGGGGAAAAGGCGGUGGGGUGGAGUUGUUAAUGGGCCGAUCCACGUCACAAUUGGGCUUAUAUUUAAGAUGUAGGAGACAUUCAAACAAACAGGCCCAAUAAGAUUUUCUUUUUUUUUUUUUAAUAUAUAUUUGAAACAUUGUGAACUGGAAAAAAAAAAAAGAAAAAAGAAAAAAAAAAUUUAGGCUAUGUUUGGAAUUGCAAGAAGAAUACAUUGUGUAUCGUGAAAAAGUGCAAUGUAAAAAUAUUUCGUUUGCUUCUGUUAAAGAUAUCACAUUGUGUAAAUCUCGUUGAUUUAAUUACGUUAUAAUUUUUACAAUCUCAGCGAACAAACGGAGGAGCAUAUCUCUCUACAUAAUCUUAAAAAACUAAUUACUUUUUCAGUCCAAAUUCUACACUCGUCUACUUCCACCCGCUGAAAAUGAGCAAUUAUGCAAAGCCAAGAUGGGCCGAGUCGGGCCUCGGAUGAUGCACAUCUAGUUGUUGAUUUCUCAGGCUUUGGACUCACUCGGGCCGGAUUGAGGCCGAAUUCGACCCGACUCUACUAACACCUAGAAACUUCUUUCUCUCUCUUACUGUAUAAUAAAAUUGUUAUCUUUCUCCACAAGCUCAGAUGUGUGUUAACACAUUAGAUAGAUCUCAGACGCGGACUUGAAUUUCAAUGAAAGAAAAAGAAAAACACUAAAUAAGGCAAGUAAUUGUGAAAGCUUUUUCCUAUAGCAGAUUCAGACGUUUCGAGAGAUGAGUUCGUAGCUUCUGCUGUUUCAUUCUAAUAAUACUAUUUUUGUUGGCUUAAAUAGACCAAUAUUCUGCCAUGUGGCAGGAGGUCAUAUUGGGCUGAAUCAUGUUUGAAAUGGUGUGAGGCUAGGUGGGCCUAGUCAUGUUCGAAGUGGCGCGAGGCUGAUUGGGCCGAGUCACAAUCAAGACCCAUGAGCACUGUUUCUGUACACUUUAAGUGAAUUGGUUGCGUAUUUCUAACAACUCGAGCUUUUGGAAUUAAUGGUUAGCGCCAAUGAUACACAAGUGAUAUCAAAACAAGAGGUCAUGGGUUCGAUUUCCGCAUGCUACGAAUGUGUCCAGAUGCUAGAGGGGAGAUUGUGCAUACUACCAUAUGGCGGGAGGUCAUGUUGGGCCGAUUGGGUCGAAACCCAUGGGCGCUGUAUCUAUACGCUUUAAGUGAAGUAGUUUCGUAUUUCUAACAGCUUGAAUUUUUGAGAUUAAUGAUUAGCGUCAACGAUCGGACAGUUAUGACUUAUGAUUUCAUACUAUGAUUGAAAAUUAAAAUUUUUUAUCUCUCAAAAAAGAAAAAUUAAAAUUUUUUAUUUAUCAAAUGCUCGCACGAUUUAUUUAAUGAAUCAAAUGGAAUCAUUUGUCACUUAUGCAACUUUCGAAAAUGUGGAGCAUGAGAUAAUGGGAGUGGUACACUGCUAUAUCACUGUAUAGAUGAGGAAGCACUAUCCACAUUUGUGAUCACAUUUUUGUUGUGGUGUGAAGUACCAAAUAUAUAAUUGGAAUUCUCUCUCCUCUCUCUCUCAAAAUAAAAAUAAAAAAUAAAAAAUAAAAAAUAAAAAAAUAAAAAAUAAAAAAGUGAUAGGUUCAAAGGAUUUGAACACUUUUUCAUACUUUUUCAGUUGAGUCGACGGUGCCUAACACUGACACAUUCUCAUAUGCCAUGCUUCUCUCUUCAUGUGUGUACUAUAAUAAUAAUAAAAUAAUAAUAAUAUAAUAAUAAUAAUAAUAAUAAUAAUAAUAAUAAUAAAAGGAUUAAUGGGUAGUCAUUAUUCAAUAAAUUUUUACUAGAGUUUGUGGAAUGAUUUAUUUGGACUUUUUUGUCGAGCAAAUUUACUAAUUAAACAGCUGUACGUACCGGUGACAAAUCUUAGAAACUAACUUUUUUUUGUUUUUAUGAAUAAAAAUAAAGUAUAAGAAUUGAAGAAUACAAAGUAUAUAGGAAAAACUUCAAAAACCACCCCUGUAAUUUUAUACUUUUUUAUUUUAGUACUUAUAAUUUAAAGUGUAUCAAGUUAGUACCAUGUGGUUUCCACUUUACACUUCAGUACCCUGUGAUUUAAAGUGUAUCAAAUUAGUAUCAUGUGGUUUUAUUUUUGUAUCAAGUUAGUACCCUGUGAUUUUUAAACCAUAGGGUACUAAAGUGAUAAAGUGUGAAACCACAGGGUACUAACUUGAUACACUUUAAACCACAGGGCACUAAAAUGAAAAAGUGCAAAACCACAGAAUACUAACUUGAUACACUUUAAAUCAUAUGGUACUGAAGUGAGAAAAAGUUAAACCACAAGGGGGAAUUUGAAGUUUUCCCAAAAAUAUAUGUGAGAAGAUAUAUUUAAUGUGCUUUUAGGCCUCUUUUGUCGAGCAAAUUUACUAAUUAACAGCUGUACAUGCUGGUGACAUAUCUUACAAAUUUAUUUUUUUUUGUUUUUAUGAAUAAAAAUAAAGUAUAAAAAUUGAAGAAUACAAAGAAUACAAAGAAUAUACUUGAAAAGAUAUAUUUAAUGUGCUCUUAGGCUCCAUGAUAUUUUCAUUAGUAAGUUCGCUUGCAGUGAAAGCUGAGUUAAUGAACUAUUUGAUAAUAUUUAAGAGAUCUAAUUGUCAAAAUUAAAAGUUUAUAAAUUUAUUUAUAGAAUCUCCAGAGUUCAGAAAAUAUCCUCACAUUUUUCUUAAAUAAGAAUAAUAAAAACAACAGUUAAAAACAUGGACAAAGGGGGAAAAAAAAAAAAGGACAAAUUCAACCCCUAAUCCAAUUAACAUUUUGAAAAUUCAAACAGGAGCAAUCCACUUUGUUUUUAUCUUUAGUAAGAUGCUCUGAUUCAUGUGACAGUACUGAUUGGUUGGCACGUCGAUACAACAAUAUUUUGCAGGCCUGUUUGGCUUGACUUCUGUAGUUGAUACGAAUCAUAGAAGAUAGGCCAAAGGAAAAUGUUUGGCUCGACAGUCGACAUAGAGCAUUGCUGUGCAGUGGGCUAGCCUGUUACACAGUAGGGCCAAAUUAACAGUUCUUAUUUGCUAGAUCUAUAUAUUUAGAGAGAGAGAGAGAGAGAGAGAUAGGCUCUUGUGCUUUCGAAAGUAUGAAAGGCCUCUGUAUUUAUAAGUCAUUUUUUAUGAUAGGACAUUCGGUUCGGCGAUCGAUUUCGUUAGACAUUCGGUUAGGCUAUUGGAACUAUCCAGAAACCAAAUUUCAUAGUUUUUACUUCAUUUAUCUAGUGAACGAUCAAAUAGUUUCAAAAUGAACAGCUGAAAAUAAAAAUCUCAUAAAAAAUAGUAAUAAAAGACUCAAAUUUCAAAUUAGAAGUAUUGAUCUUACUAAUUGAUGUUAAUUAAAUAGAAUUUUUUAUUAAAGUUUCAUGUAAUUUAAUUUUUUCUACACCGUUGAACUGAAAAACAUGCUAUAUCGACCGUUAAAAUAGUCAUUUUUGACACCUUUUAAUCACUUAAUAAAUGAUGUCGAAAAAUUAUGAAAUUUGAUUUUUAAAUAGUUUCAAUAACGUAGAUUAUGUUUAACGAACCCGAUUAUCGAAUCAGAUGCCCUAUUAUCGAAAAUAACUUAUAAGUACGGAGACCUUCAUAUUUAUAUAUAUAUUACGAGCUAUUUUACUCAAGCUUUUGAGUUUGGAAUCUUCAGAAAGAUGGAGAUGGGGUAGGCCCCAUGCAAACUUGAAUUUCACAUCAGAUAAAAACAUGCAUGCAUUAUAUAUAUUGCUUUUGUUUUUUUAGGAGAUUAUAUAUAUUGCAUACUUAGGACUGAGAAAAUGAAACUAAGGCAAAAGUUCAUGAAAAUAACACAAACUUUGGAUCAUUCGAUAACCAUCAUUCAACUUUUAAAAAUUCUGAUUCUGUUACCUAACUUUUUAACUCUUAUUAGGUUUCAGCAUCGUGCGAAAUUAUUGUUCGCACUAUUUCAUUCUCAAUAAGUAGAAAAAAAUGAUAGUAGAUAAUGUUGCUUCAAAUUGGAUAAAAUUUUCUAAUUUAAUUAAAUAAGAUCACUCACUUGCAAAACAUACACUGUUAAGUGGAUGUGAAACACUAUUUUUGGUACAAAUUGAUCAGCCUCUGAUAAGGACUAGCUAGUACAAUAAUCAAUUCCCACCUCUUUAUAUGUAGCCACCAAUUAUUUUACCACAGUAAUUAAUAAAUAUAUUUAAUUCCAAAGUUAAAUAUAGAUUAAAUCUUAAUUAAUUAAUUAAUUAAUUAAUAUAUAUAUAAGGAAUUUGCCAUAUUAUAACAGUGAUAUAUAUAUAUAUAUAUAUAUAUAUAUAUAUAUAUAUAUAUAUAUUUUAUCAAACAAUAUCAUAUCCUACGGAUAAGAGGGUCAAUAAGCCUUAUAUAUGUAGAGUUUUGUUCAAACAAAAACUCUAAUUUAAUAACUAUUUAUUAUUAUUUAUUUAUUUCCAAAACAAAUAACUUAAAUGCCGUGUCAUAGACCACGUACGAGUUAGUAUGUAGGAUGUGUAAACGUGUCAUGUGACAAGAGGGACAAAUAUAUAUAUAUAUAUAUAUAUAUAUAGAGAGAGAGAGAGAGAGAGUUGGAUUGAGCUACUAUUAGUAGCAAAAUCUCAAUAUUACUACCAGUUUUUUAGCCUUUGGAUCAACUCUUUUCGUUAUUUCUAACCAUUGGAUUAAAUACUAUAACCCAGUGGGGACCACUCAACCCUAGGGGAACCACUCAACUCUAACCGACUAAUAUCAUCCCGACCUUACAAUUUUUCAUCUAAGGGUUAAAAACUUGAUAGCAAAAAGAACGUUUUACAUUAAUAGUUCCAGCUAAUUAUCUAUUAUAAUAUAUAUAUAUUUAUAUAAUAUAAUAUUAUAUAUAUAUAUAUAUAUAAUAAAUAAUAUAUAGGGUAGGCUGUAUACUAUCAGUAGCACGGAGGCUUCCGUGCUACCAAGUUGUUUUCAAUGAUACGGCUUCCAAAUCGACGAUCGGCUCUGUUAGACUUGAUCUAUACUAUUACAAGUAUUUGGAAACUAAAUUUUAUAAUUUUUCGAAAUCAUUUGGUUAGUGAUCAAAAUGUUUCAAAAUUGAUAAUUUUAAUGGUAGAUGUGAUGCGCUUGUGAAUUUAACGGUGUAAACAAUCCAAAAAUGAUAAAAUUUUUAUAGAGAUUUUUUUUUACUAUUUAGUAUAAGAUCAGUACCUUGGAUCUUAAAUUAAAGUCUUUUAUCAUUAUUUUUUAUGAAAUUUUUAUUUUCAGCCAUUUAUUUUUAGACUACUCGUUUGAUAGAUUAAUGAUGCCGAAAAAUUAUAAAUUUAGCUUCCAAAUACUUUCAAUAGUGUAGAUUAAGUCUAACGGAGCCGAUCGUCGAUUUAGAAGCCGCAUCAUUGAAAACAACUUGGUAGCAUGGAAGCCUCCGUGCUACUGAUAGUAUAUCAGCCUAGCUCGCUCUCUCUCUCUCUCUCUCUCUCUCUCUAUAUAUAUAUAUAUAUAAUGAGAAGAAGCUUUGGAUAUAUAUUAGGGGAUGCUGCGAAUAAUUGCACGAAGAUUAAAGCAAGCGAACCUCCGAGAAGUUUGAUAGAGCUUCUAACUUUUAACGGAAAAAAAAAAAAAAAGCAGCCAAGAGAUAUUGCUGAUUAUUAUAAUCGCUUGCAAAAUUAUUCCGCGCACCCGGUGCAUCUGUACAUCUGUGCACCGUCCCUGCUAUCCUAAUCUCAUCAUAUUUGAUAGAUCAGGUUUGGAGGCUUUUGAUCGAAUUGCGUUACGCACAGUGAUAAAAUACAAUAAAAAAAGGGUAAGCUUUAAAUACCCCCUCGUGGUUUCACACUAUCUCACUUUAGUACCAUGUAGUUUAAAGUGUAUCAAUUUAAUACCCUGUGGUUUCGCACUUUUUCAUUUUAGUAUUCUGUGGUUUAAAGUGUAUCAAGUUAGUAUCAUGUGGUUUUAUUUUUCUCUUUUUAUUAUCCAUUUCACUAAUUUUUUUUAUUAAACUUAAUGAGUACUAAAAUGAAUAUUCAAUAAACCUAGAUAGGGUAUCUGAAGUUUUUUGUAUAUAAUUAGCGAAAUAUUAACGGAGAAAAUAAAACUCAGUGACAAAAUUAAAAACUAAAGGGUACUAAAGUGAAUAUUCAAUAAACUUACAUGGGGUAUCUAAAGUUUUUUUGAUAUAAUUUAACGAAACAUUAACAGAGGAGCCGACGAAAAGAGAAAUACAAAAUUAUAAGAUUUUAGGUUUAAGAUUCUAUGUAUUCUUGCUUUUAUUUCGCUUUGCAUAUUACGAAAUAAUUUAUCAGAUCUUCCUAUAUAUGCAAAUGAGUUCUGUUGGUGUAAAUUUGUUUUCGAUAAUACAGUCUCUGAAUCUCUGAAUCGACAAUCGAUACUAUUAAAUAUGAUUUUUGACCACAUAAAAUAUUUAGAAAUUAAAUUUCAUAUUAUUCUUUUUUUUAUACAUCAACUUGACACAAAAAUGAGAGACUAAAAAUAAAUAUUCUUCAAAAAGUAAUUAUAAAAUUUGUGUAAUCAAAAUAAAGAGUUUAAAUUUUAUUUUAAAUAGUUUUAAAAAUAUUAACAAAAACUCAACUGAUUUGAAUUUUUUUAUAACGUUAAACCAAAAAUAUCUUAUACCAACUAUUAAAAUUACAAAUUUUACAAGUUUUUGAUCCUUAGAUCAAUAAUAUUAAAAAAUAUUAAAAAUUNGCGGGAGCAGGAUGGAGUGGGGGGCUUCUGAGUUUUGUGAAGAGUGCGAAGGGAGGAGGAGGAGGAGGAGGAGGAAACAGAUGGUGGAAAGCGUGCACAGGGAGUAUUAAAAGCAGAUGCAAUUGUCAUAUGGGAAGACAAAAGAAAGAAAACAAUAAAGAAUGGGCAUUCUACUGUAUGUGUGUGUGUAUGUUCCUGUAUGCAAGAAUGCAGUGAAGCUACAUAAAAUAAUGAAGUCUAAAUGUGACUUUUAUAUUAAUUGUGCAGAAACCCUACGUGAAUAAAACUCUAUAUAAAUAUUGGGCUAAGAGCUAUCACUUAAUGUGAUUGGUGAAUAUAUAUAUAUAAAUGAGAUCUGAAAUGUAAGUUGUUGCCAUUAUUUUAUAUUUUAUUUCGUACAGAUCGAUAAUAUUUUAUGAGACAAAAAUACACACACACAUAUAUAUAUAUAUAUAUAUAUAUAUAUAUAUAUAUAUAUAUAUAUAUAUAUAUAUAUAUAUAUAUAUAUUAGGCCUUGUGUGCUAUUAGGAGCACGGAUGCCUCCGUGCUUCUAAGCCAUUUUCGAUAAUGGAGUUCUCGAAUCGACGAUCGGCUUCGUUAGACUUGAUCUAGCAUAUUUGAAAUAUCUAGAAAAUAAAUUUUGAGAUUUUUCGAUAUCAUUUACCUAGUGAUCGAAAAAGUUCAAAAUCAACAAUUUUUAAUGGUUGAUGUAUACCGUUUACAAGUUUAACGGUAUAGAAGUAUUCAAAUAAGAUAAAAUUUUGAUAGAAAAUUCUUUAUAUUAUUUACAAGAAGUUCAAUAUCUUUGAUCGAAAAUUUUAAUGUUUUAUGACCAUUUUUUUGAGAUAUUUAUUUUUAGCCGUUGAUUUUGAACCCUUUCGAUCGUUAGGUAAAUGAUAUCGAAAAGUCGGAAAAUUUAUUUUUUAAAUACUUCAAAUAUGCUAGAUCAAGUCUAACGGAGUCGAUCAUCGAUUCGGAAGCUACAUUAUCGAAAACGGCUUAGGAGCACGAAGACCUCCGUACUCCUAAUAGCACACGAGACCUACUCUCUCUCUCUCUCUCUCUCUCUCUCUCUCUCUCUCUCUCUCUCUCUCUAUAUAUAUAUAUAUAUAUAUAUAGGGAGAAGAGAGAGAGAGAGUUGUGCUAGAAUACUAUCGGUAGUAAACGAGCCGUUUUACUACCGAUUUGUUUUCGAUGAUAGAACUUCCAAAUUGACGAUCAGCUCAGUUGAACAUGAUCUAUACCACUUGAAGUAUUUAGAAAUCAAAUUUCAAAUCUUUUCGACAUCAUUUGCCUAAUGAUCAAAGGGUUUCAAAAUUUGUAAUUUUAAUGGUCGAUAAGAAGCGUUUUCUCGUUUAACGGCAUAAAGAUAUCCAAAUCAAUUGAAUUUUUGUUAGAAAAUUCUUUAAACUAUUUAAAACAAGAUCUAUACUCUUGAUCUUGAUUACAAGACUCCUAUCAUCAUUUUUUAAAGAGUAUUCAUUUUCAGNNNNNNNNNNNNNNNNNNNNNNNNNNNNNNNNNNNNNNNNNNNNNNNNNNNNNNNNNNNNNNNNNNNNNNNNNNNNNNNNNNNNNNNNNNNNNNNNNNNNNNNNNNNNNNNNNNNNNNNNNNNNNNNNNNNNNNNNNNNNNNNNNNNNNNNNNNNNNNNNNNNNNNNNNNNNNNNNNNNNNNNNNNNNNNNNNNNNNNNNNNNNNNNNNNNNNNNNNNNNNCCUCACCUAAAAGAUAUCAGCCAAGACCACACCAAGAAAAUCCUCGCAAAAGAGAACUGAAAAAUAAUAAAAAGAUACAAAUGGAAAAGAAAUAAAAUGGUAACAAGGAAAACAAAUCAGAUCAAAACCAGAUAUUAAGAAAACUAAGAUUUGCAAAAUCUCUCUCUCUCUCGUCUCUCUCUCUUGCGUCUCUCUCUCUCGGGUCUCUCCCAUCUCACUCCUCCUCUCUCGUCUAUAUAUAUAUAUAUAUAUAUAUAUAAGGGAGAAGAGAGAGAGAGAGUUGUGCUAGAAUACUAUCGGUAGUAACGAGCCGUUUUACUACCGAUUUGUUUCGAUGAUAGAACUUCCAAAUUGACGAUCGGCUCAGUUGAACAUGAUCUAUAACUUGAAGUAUUUAGAAAUCAAUUUCAAAUCUUUUCGACAUCAUUUGCCUAAUGAUCAAGGGUUUCAAAAUUUGUAAUUUUAAUGGUCGAUAAGAAGCGUUUUCCUGUUUAACGGCAUAAAGAUAUCCAAAUCAAUUGAAAUUUUGUUAGAAAAUUCUUUAAACUAUUUAAAACAAGAUCUAUACUCUUGAUCUUGAAUUACAAGACCCUAUCAUCUUUUUUAAAGAGUAUUCAUUUCAGUUAUUCAUUUUUCUGUUCACUUGAUGGAUAAAAGAAUAAUAUCGAAAGUGCGUGAAUUUGAUUUCUAGGUAGUUUUAAAUGGUUUAGAUCAUAUUUAAUGAGCGAUCUUCAUUUGGAAGCUCUAUCAUCGAAAUAUAAUUGCUAGUAAAACGCCGUUUACUAUCGAUAGUAUUCUAGCAUAACUCUAUAUAUAGAGUGAGGCUACUAUGCUUCUGGAAGCACGGAGCUUCCGUGCUUCCAGGUCGUUUUUCGAUGUUGCGACUUUCGAAUCGUCGAUUGACUCCGUUAAACUUGAUCUCGAGUAUUUGAAGUACUUAGAAAAUAAAUUUUAUAAUUUUUGAUACCAUUUGUCUAGUGAUCGAAGGGGCUCAAAAUCAAUAAUUUUAAAGACCGUGGUGAGCCGUUUGCAAGUUUGACGGUGUAGAAAUAUUCAAAUCACGUGAAAUUUUAAUAGAAAAUUUUUAUACUAAUAAUAAACAAGAUUAAUAUUUUGAUCUAAAAUUUUAAUGUUAUAUUAUCACGUUUUGUAAGAUUUUAUUUUCAGCCGUUGAUUUUGGGCCCCUCAGUUCACUAGGCAAAUGAUAUCGAAAAAUUACAAAAUAUAUUUUCUAGGUACUUCGAAUAUUCUAGAUCAACUUUAAUGGAGUCGGUUGAUGAUUCGAAAGUCGCAACAUCGAAAAUGACCUGGAAGCACGGAGCCUGGAAGCAUGGAAGGCUCCGUGUUUCCAGAAGUAUAGUAACCUCAUCUAUAUAGAAGCAUAGUAGCCGGACUCUAUAUAUAUAUAUAUAUAUAUAUUAUAAUAUAUAUAUAUUAUAUAUAUAGUCCGGCUACUAUCCUAUUAAUAGGAUUGGAGCCAAUUGUCCUAUCAAGUCGUUUGAUUGAUCGGAACUUUAAAUUGAUAAUCGCACACCAUCGAAAUUGUUCUACAAAAUUAGAAAUGUUUAGAAACUAAAUUUUGUAAUAUUUAAAAAUCAUGAUCAAAUUCAUCUUAAGAGUUAAAAAAUGAAUGUCAUAAUUGAAUAACCUUCUCAAAUAGAGUUAGACUUUCUCAAUUCAUAAUCAGAGUUAUCAAACAUAUCUAAAUAGUAUAAAGAAUUUUUAAAAAAAUUCAAGCAAUUUGGAUUGCUCUACACCGUUAAACAAGCAAACGGCUCAUAUAGGCCGUCAAAAAUUGUCGAUUUUACGACACUUUGAUCACCAUGUAAAUAAUUUUUAAAAUUUAUGAAAUUUAGUUUGCUCCUAUCCUAUUAAUAGGAUAGUAGCUCUAGUAUAUUAUAGUUGGACUGGCUACUAUUAGUAGCAAAAUUCCAUUGUUGCUACCAGUUUUUUGGCCUUUGGAUCAACUCUUUUCAUUAUUUCUAACCAUUGGAUUAAAUACUAUAACCCAGUAGGGACAUCAACCCUAGGGGGAUCACUGAACUCUAACCGACUAAUAUCAUCCUGAUCCUACAAUUUUUCAUCCAAGGUUAAAAACUUGGUAGCAAAAAGAGCAUUUAUUAUUAAUAGUAUUCCAACCUAAUUCUAUAUAUAUAUAUAUAUAUAAAAUUUAAAUUUAUGGUCAAAUUAAGGUGGGAACUAAAACUCUCUCUCUAAAAAUAAUAAUAAAAUAAAAGAAAAAAAAAAGGAGGAAUUAAAGAAAGAAAGAACACAACGGCACAAUAGCGUUUUUGGGGUUUCGUGUGAUUGUGACAAACUCCAACUCCAACUCCAACUCCAACUCCAAAGUAGGACAAAUUAAGAUUUUAUUUUUUUAUUUUUUUUCUUGUUCUAUAUAUAUAUAUUAUAUAAUAUAUAUAUAUAAAUAUAAUGUUACUAUCCUAUUAAUAGGAUAGGAGCAUUUGUCUAUCAAGUUGUUCUUGAUGAUCGAGAUUCUGAAUCGAUGAUCGGAGCCGUUGAAGUUGAUCGAGUAUUUGAAAUAUCUAGAAACUAAAUUUCAUAAAUUUUGAUAAUGGUUUACAUGGUAAUCAAAGUGUCGUAAAAUCGAUAAUUUUUGAUGGCCUAUAUGAGCCGUUUGCUUGUUUAACGUAUGUAGAGCAAUCCAAAUUGCUUGAAUUUUUGAUAGAAAAUUCUUUAUACUAUUUAGAUAAUGUUUGAUAACUCUGAUUACGAACUAAGAAAGUCUAACCUCUAUUUUAAAAAGGUUAUUCAUUUAUGAUCGUUCAUUUUUCAACGCUUAAGAUGAACUUGAUAAUGAUUUUUAAAUAUUAUAAAAUUUGGUUUCUAAAUAUUUCUAAUUGUGUAGAUCAACUUCAACGGUGCCGAUUUUCAAUUUGAAGUUUCGAUCAUUCAAAUCGACUUGAUAGGACAAGGGUCCCAAUCCUAUUAAUAGAAUAAUAGCCGGACCCUAUAUAUCUAUAUAUAUAUAUAUAUAUAUAGUUUUGCUAGAAUACUAUCGGUAAUAAACUAGCCGUUUUACUACCGAUUUGUUUUCGAUGAUAGAGCUUCCAAAUUGACGAUCGGCUCCGUUGAACAUGAUCUAUACCAUUUGAAGUGUUUAGAAAUCAAAUUUCGAAUUUUUUCGACAUCAUUUGCCUAAUGAUCAAAGGGUUUCAAAAUUUGUAAUUUUAAUGGUCGAUAAGAGGUGUUUUCUCGUUUAAGCCGUAAAGAUAUCCAAAUCAAUUGAAUUUUAGUUAGAAAAUUCUUUAAACUAUUUAAAACAAGAUCUAUACUCUUGAUCUUGAUUACAAGACUCCUAUCAUCAUUUUUUAAAGAGUAUUCAUUUUCAGCCAUUCAUUUUUCUGUUCACUUGAUGGAUAAAAGAAUAAUAUUAAAAGUGCGUGAAAUUUAAUUUCUAGGUAGUUUAAAUGGUUUAGAUCAUAUUUAACGGAGCNUAAUAUGUUAAUAAUUUUUAUUAAAGCUUUAUAAAAUAAAAUCAAAAAUAGUACAGCUAAAAGAUCGUAGCAUAAUCAUCGUAAACGCCAAAAGAAAUCUCCAGGAGAUACACCUGCACCAAUUAAUUGCAUGCAACCUAAUUUUAUUAAAGUAAUAUUAUUUUGAGUCAUAUAAAUUUAUUUUAAAUUUUAUUUUUAUUUUUCAGUUCUUGGUAAAUUAAAUUUGCGUGUAGUUUUAAUGUUCUAAAAUACGAUGGCAAAAUUAAUUACAAAAAAAUGAGAAUAAAAAAUAAUAAAAAUAUAAACUGUAGUAAUACUUUUCUCUUCUUUAUGUAUUAGUGCGAAACAUUGUGAAAUAAAGUGUAUAAAACUUAUUUCAACUUUUUUUUUUUUUGAUCUACCUCUCUGACCGUUAAAAUUUUUAAUUAUACUAUCUAAUUUUUUAGUUUAUUUAAUUUGAGCGUAUCAAUGAUUUUUUAAUUUCAAAAUUUAAAUACGUCGUUUAUCUUUACGAAUUUAGUUAAUAUAUUAUAUAUAAUUAUAAGUUCGUUAAAGUACACAAUUAACUCAAAUUUUGUAUAUGAAGUAUCAUCAAAUUAUUUAAAUCAAAUAAAUAAAAAAAAUUGGGUACUAAAAUUAAAAUUUGAAAGAUUGAAUAAUCGAGUCAAAGUGGUCUAUAAUUCUGGUAAGUUUUUUAACAUUUUUAAUCUAAAAUUAAAAAAAGGGUAGGAUAAGUAUAGUUCCAAAACCAGUAAUUUUAUAUCAAACAAAAAAUACAAAAAAUUAUUUUCAUCUUUUUAUAUGACUGUUUUAAUAUUUCUCGAAGUUUUAAUCAAAUUAUUAAGUGAACAUUCCCUCUCAAAAUAAUCCACACGACAACCAACGAUUUAGAGGCAAAUUCAUUAAAGCUUAAGAUAAAUUCUAAUUUGAACUUAAAUUAAAAAUUAAAAAUUAAUCAAACAUUUCGAAUAUAAUUUAUAAAUUUGAAUUUGAAUUUAAUUUAAAAUCUAAAGUUUUAUUUAUGGAUUCAAAUUAUAAUUUUAAGUUUGAAUUUGAAUAAAUUAAAAUUUAAUUUUGUAUUUUAAAUUAUCUGUUUAAUUUAAAUUUUUAAUUUUUUUUUAAUAUUCAUAUUUCAGAUAAGUUUUAUGUGUUUUCACCUAAUAAAACCACGAUACACGAAAAAAUUAUAAUAUAAUUAUAUUUGCACAAAAAAUCAAUUUUCUUUUCAUUGUACCCACUUUAAUAUUUCAUGGAUUUUGAUUGAAAAAAACUAAUUAAAAGUCUAAUUAAGUACCUUCCUUAAAGAAAAAAUAAAAUCAAAAUCAAAACCCUGUACGGUGCAAUUUCACUAAAAGUAAACAUCAUAUCAUAUGUGUGAUCAUGUUUAUUUUAUCUACACGAAACUUAAACAUUUAUUAUUAUUAAUUAGUGGAGGAUAUUAUUUUUAUUCUUCGAAAAUAGUCAACUAUGUUUAUCUAAUUUAAAGACCCACUUUGAUGAGUCUCACAAAUAUUUUUGGAGUACACGACUCUUUAGUGAGGCUCAGAAUUAUUAAUUUCACACACAAAAUCCAUUGACAAUAUUAUAUAUUUGGUUUUAGUUUUUUAAUUAAUUCUCUUUUGACAACUUAUUGCGUAAACACAAAAAAAAUAUAUUAAAUGUUCGUUGGCCUCUCGUUCAGUUUGAUUGAUGGAUCAGGCAAAUUCUAGACGGAUUAAUUUUUAUUUUUUAUUUUAUAUCUCUACUUACUGUUCGAUUCAGGAAUGAUCGGAACGAGAGCGAGUUUUCGACCGAUUUUGGACAUAUCCGAAUGGAUCAAAAAAAAAAAAAGGUGCUAUUUGUUGCGAGACUCGAAUUUAGAAUCUCUUAUUUUUUAAAAAAUUUUUAAAAAUUUUUUCGCAGUUUGGUUAAUUUGAAGAAAAAUAAGUAUUUUUGAAAAAAGUUUCCCAUGUUUCAUUGAAAACUGGUGUUUUCGAAAAUACUAAUUUUCAUAAAAUAUGAGAAAAAAAUUCAUAAAAAUUUGUUUUCCUUAUAACCAAAUGGACAAAAAAUAAAAAAAAAAAUUUUUUUAAAAAAAACCUUUUUUGGGGAAAUUUUUUUUUCCACACUUUUUUAAAGAGCCAAACAGCCCCCUCCCUAAGUAUUGAAUUUUAUUUGGCUCAAUAUAUCGCACCAAUAAUUACUCGAUAUAUUAUGUCCCUACAAUAUUUUUUAUUUUAUAAUUAUGAUAUAUUUAUAAAUUCAAUAAGCUAGUACAGUUUGUAGAAACACUCCAUCAAAUCUCGUUUUAGCGCCGUGGGCGGUGGCGUUUUGGAUUGCGGUGGUCAAAGAAAAAGAAAAGCACACAAUAUUUUUUCGCCUAAGUUUGAUAAGUUGUUUCAUUGACUUUAUAUAUGAUCUCUCUCUCUCUCUCUCUCUCUCUCUCUUUCUUUGUGGGAUAAUUAAACAUGUGGUGGAUUAAAAAGUCCAUGGCAUAUUUUUUUAGGUGAGAAAAGAAACCAAACCACUUUGACAAAAUAGUGUUCCGUGGGAACAAACUGAUUUUGACCCAUUCUAUUUGAACAUGCACUAAAAAUAGAUAGGUAAACUCCUACACCCUGUUUGGUUCGGGGAUAAGGUUCUGUUUGUUUCGAGGGAAAUGGGGUGAAAGUGGAAUGAAAAAAGUGAUUUUCGGUGAAACUGACCACUUCCGCUGUUUGGUUCACUGUAAUUUUAUUACGUCCGAAAGUCCAGUUCACCUAAAAUAAUGAACUUGACUUCGCCCUCCCAUGGGGCGAAGUCAAUUCCGGUGAAGUGAAAAAAAAGCAAGAAUGGAUUAAUGUGUUAGGGUUACCUCUUAUAAAAUAUGAUCAAAUUUGAUUAGGUGAGCUUUAAUAUAUUUUUUUGUUUAAUUUGUAUAUUUAGAAAAUGAUGAAAAAUAAAUUUGUUAAAUGUUAAUAAUUUUUUAACUUUAGAAUUUUAUUUGUUGCAUUAUUAUAAUUUAUAUGCAAACAAAUAAUAUAAUUUUUUAAAAUUUUAUUUUAUAAUUAUACAUAUAUAUAAUUAUAUGCAUAUAUAAUUAUAUUAAUUUUUAUUUAUUAUAAUUUAUUAUUCACUAUAAGUUACAAAAUAGACAAUGAUAUCACUUUGGAGGUAAGUAUACCGGGGGUGGAGGGCUACACUUUUUACGUCAUUUACUUUCUACCAAACAAAUAACAGAACUCGCAGAACUGCACUUCCACAGUUAGAAACAAACAGCAGAAGUGAACUAAUUUUCACCCCAACUCCACUUCAACUCAAAGUUCACUUCCACCCCAAGUCUACUUACGUUGAAACAAACAUGUCCUAAAAGGUGGAAUAACUCCUUAUUUCCUUCUUUAUAUUCAAAUGUUAUUUUUCAUACUCUAAAAAAUAAUAAUUUUGGGUAUCUGGAAUAUGCUGGUAUAACCUGAUAUAAAUUUGGAAUUGCAUAUUUGGGGUUCAAACCAUAUCACAUCACGCGUGAUAUUUUGAUCCUCGAACUGAUGAACUAUAAGUUUUAGUAAUUUUUAGUUUGAAUUCUUCAUAUUGUUUUUUUUUUUGACGAACUGUAAGUUAUAUCAGUUUUUUGUUCGAAUUCUUCAUAUUGUUUUUUUUUAACGAGAAAGAUAGCAUGCUAACUGCUUCGUUUAUUUCUUUUAGAAAUAAACUGUAAAUGUGAAGCAAUUAUAUUUCGAAUUUAGGAUCUUGGUUAUUAACCACCAAAUUUUUUUUUGUCACUUGUGCUGGGGACGAUCGGUAAAUUUUUCAUAUUGUUAUAAAUAAUAAUGUAUUGCUAAUGCAACAGGAAUGUCGCAUUUUAAUUACUCCUUCGUCAUUAAUUAUAAUACUGUUAUAUUACUGUCACAUUAUAAAACUUAAUUAUAAUAAUUUAAAAAUUAAUUAAAAUUGAAGAAUUAAAGUAUCACGCGUCUUAUAGUGCAAUUUUGCCAAAUGGAAGGUAUUUAAUGUGAGGAGCUUUUUUUGUUUGACUACGUAACUUAUUGUUUGACUACAUGGGCCGCUUUUUUUAAGUGCUUGUUCACAUCACCAUGUCUUUGAGCAUUGCUAACUUUGACUUCUUAUUUAAUUCAAUGUCCUAGCACCUGAAAAAAAGUUUUUUUAAAAAAAAAGAAAAAAUAAUUCAUAUAAAUAUAUGUGACACAUUGUUUUAUGCCAAUCUCAUUAAAUUAGAUCAAGGUAACUAUCAAUGGAUACCGAUGAUUUUUUCUUUUCUUUAAAAAAAAAAAAAAAUCAUCAUAUAAGGAAUACAAAUAGAACGAAUCAGGUAGCGGAAGAGGCCUCCCACCUCCGAUCUUCCUUAUUUUGGGCGGACCGGAGUGGAUUCUACACAGAUCGAUAUUUAUCAUAUUUUUUAUCUUUAGUCACCGCUUCAUUCAAGACCGGUGAGAAUGUAAGCAGAUUUUUUUUUGUGCAUUUUUUAUAGAUAGAAAUAGAUUAAAGAAAAGGAUCUUCCAUGUCCUACUGUAUUUUUUAGCAGAUAGAGGCAGAUUCAGAAUAGAUUACUUUUUUUUUUUAUUUUUGGCUUUCACUUACCACUCCAUUCAGAAUGAAUCUGGGCAGGAUCUCCACCAACCAGAAUCCAUACUCCUCAUAGAUCCAAAUUAUACCAUACAUAGCUCACCUCCUCUCUCUCUCUCUCUCUCUCUCUCUCUCUCUUCCUUCCCUAACUAGCUUAUAAUAUGAUAUAAUUAAUAAUUUAUAUGACUAAAAAAAUUAUAUGAUUUUCGAUGAUAGAUUAUCUGAAUUAAGAGUUUAUACGUUCUGUACAAAACUAGCUAGCUUAUAGAAGAACACAGUUAAUAUCACUAAGAAAAUCGCAUUAUGAACUUGUUUCAACUGUAAAAUAUCUGAAUUAACAAUUCAUACACGUACCCUACCGACCGUCCUUAGAGCAAGUAGCAAAAGGCUUGGUGGUUGGUACCCGAGACCCAAGUUCGAAUCCUAGUUGAUUCACAUUUCUAGCUAAGUUUAUUUUUAAAUGAAAUAAACGAAACGAAUAGCGUGCUACCUAUCUCUCAAAAAAAAAAAAAAAAAAAAAAAAAUUCAUACACCCUGUGUUAGUGAUGACCUGAAUCUCGAACAAUCGAAUUUGAUCGGACUGGUCAGAGUUUCUUUUGGAGCUUUAGGUAACCCAUUUAAAUAAUUAAGAUUAGGUCGGAUUAUAUUAAAUCCUAAUCAUGGUAAAAUGAAGGUAAAAGAUGAAGAGAUUUGUGAAAAAUUAGAUGACACGUUGCGCGCGAUCCUACUAAUCACUUUGUUAGUCAUAAUCACUUGAGCAAAUAUUUUAUUGAGAAUUUAAUUAUAUAGAUUCUCAUAUGGUACAAUUAUAAGGUAAAAUAUUUUCUUUCAUUAGGCUAUUUUGAAGUACAAAGCUUUAAAAUAAAGUACUAGUUUUUCUCUUUUUUUUUUUUAAAUAUUGAGUAUAAUUUUUAUAUAUUUUUAUUUGAGUUACUUUUCUAAACUAAAUCAUAUAUAGUGGUUUAAUUAGCUAUCAGCUAUUAACAAUUGAUUAAAUUCUCCAAAUUUAUUAGAUAAAAAAAUUCUAGCCAAAUUAAUAGUUAGUGACUAAUGAUUUUUAUAUAAACAUAGCGCAAUCGUUUACUAAUGCAUAAAUUUAUUGAAUCCGGUCACUGUUCUUGACUAAUUAUCACCAAAUUCAACAAAGAUGAAAUGUUACCGAUAACGAACUGCUCUGAGCGCAAUUGGUUAGGGCGAAAAAAGUUAUUAUCAGAUCCACCUGAUAAAAAAAUCAGUAAACAUAUUCAGAUUUGCGACUUCUUAUACAAGUUUCUCCUAUCUACAUUCUCACAAUGUAAUAGUAGGUGUUUUUUUUUUUUUUUUUUUCCUUAUUAUUAUUUUCAGAGGGUAAAGGUGCAAAAUGGAGGAAUCUAAUGGUGAGGUUGCAAAAAGGGCAAAUUUGUGCCACGUAUCGCAAAUCUGGACCUGUUCGAUUGAUUUUUUCUAUGAGACCGAACUGGUAGCAAUUUUCAUCAAUUGCUUAGCAUUGCCGUAUAAAAUGAUUUCAGUUCUUUAAAAUACUGUCUUGUCGACAGCUCAUAUCACACUUUAAAGUACGUGUAUAAAUCAAUCAAAAGCUUACAGUGCCAGUACUUUGAAGAAGUCGUAUCAUAUUCCCCAAAACAAUUACACAAACACACACAAACACACAUUAAUUACACUGUAUUAUAUUAUACUUUGACAUUUCUUUUUGUUUCUAUAUUGUGCUAUUUAUUACUUCAAAGACACCAUUUUUUUAAAAAAAAAUUUCUACACUAUAACUAAUAAAUUUAUAAUUUUUUAUAAAAGCGGUUAAAAAAUACUGAUUAAAACUAAUAGAGCAUUCAUUCAAUUUAUUUUGCCAAAAAAAAUAAAAAGUACAUAAAAAAUAAAGAAUAAUUAAGAACAACUUGAUAGAAAUUUUUAAUGAGCAUAAUAUAGAGAUUUAUUUCAUAUUUUGUUCGCUAUUUAAUCAAUAUUUCAUAAUAUAAUUACUAGAUUUUAUCUAAAAUAAUGUAUUUGAUAACAGUAAUCUAGAGAUUGACGAGAAAAAAAAAAAAACUUUAAGGAUAUCAAUGAGAAAAUAGUAUAAGAUAAAAAAAUAAAAAUAAAUUUAAAAUAUAGUAUAAAAAUUGAUAAAACACGAUAAUAUAAUGGAGUCUCGGCGAUAUAUAUACAGACACACACAAUAUAAUAGAGUGUAAUUAAGCUGUAUAUAUAUAGGGGCUUUUGCUAUAGAGUGAGGCUGGUAUGUUUAUAGAAGCACGAAGUUAUCUAUGCUUUCUAGUCGUUUUGAAUGUUGGGACUUUUGAAUCAACAAUUGAUUCUGUUAGAUUUAAAUUAGAGUAUUUGAAAUAUAUAGAAAAUAAAAUUAUGCUAUUUUGGUCCCAUUUAUCUAGUAAAUAAAGCAAUAUUUUAAAUAACUAUAGUAAUAAUCCAAAAAGUAGACUCUCUCUCUCUCUCUCUCUCUCUCUCUCUCUCUCUCUCAAUAAAACCCCCUCUCACUCCCCCUUUCUCUUUCCCCUGUUCUUAUCAUCUCCCCAUCCCCCUCCUCUCUCUCUCUCUCUCUCGAUCUCUCUCUCUCUGUCUCUCUCUAGAGAUUUCUCUCUCUCUCUCUCUCUAGGAUCGACGGUCGAGAUCGGCGCGUGCCCGCGCGCGCGUACAUGUGAUCUUCGGCGCACGAAUCUCGAAGGUGGAUCGGAGGCAUGGGAAGAGGCCCCUUCUUCUCCCUCCGGAGCCCAUGUCCGGCGCCGCGGCGGAGGCGGCGGCGGCGGCGGAGGAGGAGGAGAUAAUAGCCCAGGGUGGAGUCGGAGGAGGAGGAGCCGAGGGCGCCGAGGGGGACUCGCACGUGCUGUCCCGCUUCUCCGCACGUGCCGACCACGACGCCUCCGCCAUGGUCUCCGCCCUCGCCCACGUCAUCGGCUCCCCCGGCCCGGUCCACCCCGACCCCUCCCCCCCCGGACCGGCCGGUUCGCCCCAUCCCCCCCACCUCGACCAAGGUAUUAUAUAUAUAUAUCUAUAUAUAUUUAUAUAUACAUCUAGAGAGAGAGAGAGUAGAGAGAGAGAGAGAGAGGGGUAUGUAUACAAGGCACUAGCACCUUCUAGCUAGUUACACCAAAUAGAUAUUUAUUAAACUUAACUAAUUAACUUAAUUACUUAAUUAACUAACUCAAAUUAAGUGGUUGGUUAAUCGAUGAGCUAAAUAUUUGGGUGGGUUAAUCGAUGAGCUAAAUAUUUGAUUCAAUCCUAAUUUUUUGAUUGGUGGAAGGGGCUUGUUUUUUAAUUUUGGAAAAGUAAUGGAUGAAGCUAACCUGAGCUUCUUGAAGUUUCUGAUUUUUUUUUUUUUUUUUUUUUUUUAAACCAAUGAGGCGUCGAGAGUUUUUCUUUAAAAAAUAUUCGUAAAAAUUUAUAAUAAUUCCUCAAUUUUUUGCUGCAGCGAGAGAGAAACUGGCGUUGGAGGAUGAUUUUAAACCGACCAAUGAGGCUUGAGCUUACAAAAAAUAUGUGAAUUUAGUGUUAGAGGCCUAAGAAGACAAAAAUGUGUAACAAGUUAAUUUGCCUAGCUAUGAUAACAUCUCGACUACACCACCACAAUUUAUGUCUCUUUUAUAUAUUUACAUUAAUAGAACAAAGAAGAAGGAUCUUAAUAAAAUAUAUAUGUAAAUCUAAUAUUUUAGAACAAAAAGGAGUAAAAUUUCAUGUCAAUUGUAGUUAGCUUGAACUAAGAACAACAUUGUGAGUUUCAAAUGGUGUAGGCAACAAAUAUUGCACUACUGCAUCAAACACUAAUGCUAACGUAGAAAUGAUGUGUCUUUAGCGUAUAUUUAUUUUUAUAUAUAUAUAUUUGUAUUGUAUGGAUUGAAAGUAUAUGUGAUCAUUUUAUGAACAAAGGUGAUGUGAGGAGAAGGCACUAUAGAGGAGUGAGGCAAAGGCCGUGGGGGAAAUGGGCGGCGGAGAUCCGCGACCCGAAGAAGGCGGCGCGGGUGUGGCUCGGGACCUUCGACACGGCGGAGGAGGCGGCGAUCGCGUACGACGAAGCCGCCCUCCGGUUCAAAGGGACCAAGGCCAAGCUCAAUUUCCCCGAGCGGGUCCAGGGCCGGACCGGGCUCGGGUUCUUGGUCACCCCGGGCCUCCCGGGCCGCCCCGUCGGGCCCGUGUCCGCCGCCGCGGCCUCCUCCUACCCUGACCUAAUCCAAUAUGCUCAGCUCCUGCAAAGUGGUGAUGAGGACAUAGGCAAUGUGGCUUCACAUUUAUACACCAGUGGAAGCAGCAGCAGCAGCAGCAGCAGCAGCACUGCUGCUCCUUUCUCCGGGCCGACUUCACAAAUGUCGACGAUGUCGAUAUCAGGGCCGUCGCAGCAGAUAUUGGACUUCUCCUCGCAGCAGCUGCGGAGCGCGACCUCGUUCUCUUCUUCUACUACCUCUUCCUCCUCUUCUUCUUCGAGCUCGCGCGCUCGCGGGGAUCAGAGGGGCAAAGAUACUAGCUACAACCCAUGAGAGCUGUGUUUGGGGGAGGGGGAGGGGGGCGUUUGGGGGGGGGGUAGGGUGAUUGUUGCUUUGACGGUGUCAAUUCAGCGAGGGAAAAGCAUAGAGUUGCAUAUAUAUCUAUAUCUAUAUCUAUAUAUAUAAUUGUUUUGUUUGUUCCUGAUAUGAUUAUUUCUGAAUUGUUUCCUAUAUGAUCGGUCUUCUGUGUUAGAUAUAUCGUACGUAUAUCAAAGUCAGUUUUGAGCCCUCUCAGUUCUAAGAGGUCUGUACAUUGCUUCUCCUAUCAGUGCAUGUGUGAGCAAAACUAUUAAGGACUAGAGCUAUUGUUCUAUUAGAUCGAUCUUCUGGAUAACAUGUAAAACUUCGGAUAUGCUAAGUUUAUGACUUGACCCCUUUUUUUCGUUUUUGAGAAGUUGUGAAGUGCCAUGCAAAUGUGAUGACAAGGAUAAGGGAGACUAGGGAAUGAUGUUGUUUCUUAGUCAAUUUGUUGAUUUGAUGUAUGUAUUUGUGCAUGUUCAUGGUGCUUAAUUAAUGAAUUAAUCAAAAGUUGGUGUUUUUUUGGUCGUUAUUCUUCCACUCAUUCUUCACUAUAUAUAUAUAUAUAUAUAUAUAUAUAUAUAUAAAAUAAAUAAAUAAAUAAAUAUAUAUAUUUUAUUGGCUUAAUUAUUGUAACUUAACCAUUUUACAAAAUUUGCAUGCAUGCAAGAGUGGGAAUAUUUAUAUUCUUGAUGUAUAUAUGCCAGAUUCUUCCGUACACCACAAAUAUAUAUAUAAUAAUAGCCGUUGGAUGGUAAUCAGUAGAACUCUGAGAUAUGAUGAUCUCAGUUGGUGGAAAUGGACGGUGGUGAUUUUUCUGUUGUACAAAAGAAUAAAUACUAUAUGUAUAGAGUUAGGCUUUUACGCUUUUAAAAAUACUAAAGUCUUCGUCCAUUUAAAUUGUUUUCGAUUAUGGGGCAUCUGAUUCAACGAUCGGUUCCAUUGAACAUGAUCUACAGUAUUAAAACUAUUUAGAAAUCAAAUUUUAUAAUUUUUUGGCUUCGUUUGCCUAAUGAACAAGUAGUCUCAAAACGAACGGUUCAAAAUAAAAAUCACAAAAAAAAUAAUGAUAAAAAAUUUAAAUUUCAAAUCAAAAGCAUUGGUCUUAUUCUUAAUGAAAAAAAGAAUUUUCUAUUAAGAGUUUAUCAAAUUUGAAUUGUUUUAUAUCGUUGAACUUACAAACGUGACAUAUCGGCUGUCAAAAUAAAUAAAUAAUAUAAAAAAAUUAUGAAAUUUUGUUUCUAAAUAGUUUUAAUAGCGUAAACUCUAUCUAACGAAGCCGAUCAUUUAGUCGAAUGCCUCAUCAUCGAAAGUACAGGAGAUGGGUACGUACAUCAAAUACAUGCAUGUGAUUUAUAUCUCACAAUAUAGCGAAUGCGUGCAAGUGAUUUGCGAAUGGUGAACAUAUAGAGAGGAUAAAAAUAGAGAAUAAUUUGACCUUUAAUUUUACUUUUAGGGUGCAUUUAGUUCGAGUUAUCCUGACAGGAUUACAAACAAUCCUACCAGAAUUACUGUGUUUGGUUCAUCCGCUAUGUAAUUUAGUCGUUAAUGUAACAUUACAAAUCGAGCAGGAUUACACCAAAAAUAUUAACGAGAGGGGAGUCGUGUAUCUUGCAUUACUGAAAACCGGUAAUACUACAUAUUAUGUAAAUGACAAUUUUACUCCUCUAACUCCCGAAACCCUUUCAAUAUGUCAUUUUAAAAAAAAUUAAUUUAAAAUUUUCAAUUGUCAACUUUAAAAUUUAAAAUUUUGAAUUGUCAACUUUAAAAUUUAAAAUUUAAAAUUUAAAUUUUAGAUUUUAAAUUUUAAAUUUAAAAUUUAAAAUUUAAAAUUUAAAAUUUUAAAAUUCAAAUUUGUAUUUUAAUUUCUGAAUUUUAAAUUUAGAUUUUUAAUUUUAUAUUUAUAUUUAUAUUUAUAUUUAUAUUUAUAUUUAUAUUUUGGAUUUUAAAUUUAUAAAUUUCGUAUUUAUAUUUUAAAUUAAAAUAUUAAAUUUAUAUUUUUGUUCAAAUUUAAAAUUUAAAAAAUUAAAUUAUUUAAAAUAAAAUUUAGUAAAAAAAUAUUAUUUGUAAACAGUAAAAAAAUAAGUUUAUAAAAUAUGGUUAAGGAAAAUUUUGGAAUAGACUAUAUUUUAUUCUCUAAAUUAUUGAAUUUUAUAGAUAGAACCAAACAUAUUAAUGCUAUAACCACUGCAAUUCAGCAGUUCAUUACUAUAUUAAACCAAACGCGCUAAUGCAGUAUAAGUAGUAAUCUUUUUUAGAAAUCUAAGAUACCUAGAUAUAUCGAAAUACUCUGUAAUAUUAUAUAACUUGAACCAAAUGCACCCUUAUUAAGGGCAUGUUUUUUUCGUGCUAUGUAAUAUUUCUAGUUAUUUGAAUAUAACUAGAAAUUUGAUUCCUAUAAAUUAGAUUAGUACUAAUAUUGUAUAACUCCGUUUGGUUUAGUACAAUAAUAUAAUGUGGGAAUGCUCGACUAGGCAAAUAAGAGAGGAGAAGGGAAUAGAGGGAGAAAGAGGGUGAGUGAGAGAGAUAGAGAGAGAGAGAAAUUAGAGUAUCUUAAAACCCUAGAAUGAGCUAAAGAGAAGGAUGGAACUCUUUUAUGAAUAAAAUGAAGAGAUGAGAAGAGAUUUGAGGGGGAGUGAGAGGGAUAACUUUGUAAUUUUCAUAAUUGAGGCUUAGGAUAAUCUGCAACCAGUAAUGCAAGAUACCCACCUCUUCUCAUGUAAUAUUAUUAGAGUAAUUUUGUACUUUCAGUUUUCCUACAUUACUUACUAGAUUACAUACGUAAUAAAACUAACACAAUAAUUUUGAAAGAUUUUUUUUAAUGUUCCCCAGUAGUCCUGGCAAGAUAGCGUGAACUAAAAGUAAGUUACUUUAUUAGAUUAUAUGUGAAUAUUGUUACGUCUCCAAUCCAAAAGGGAUUGUAAUCUUACAAUACUCUCAUUCAAUAGAAUGCUUCAAGAAGGAAACAAGGUUGCUUACUUCCAUAAUGUAUUUGGCAAUAAGAUAUCUGAAUCUAUGACACUUUAAACAUAAUUUAGGGUCCUUGAACUUUUUAAAUUUCAAAUUUUACAAUUCUUUCGAUUCCAUUUGCUUUGUCUUCAAGUGGUUGAAAAAUUGACAAUUUUUAAUAGUUAAUAUAAGAUGAAUUUGACACCGCUUGAACACUAGGCAAACGGUAUUAUAAAAUCGUGAAAUCUGAUGUUAACAAAGUUCAAAUAACUCAGAUCCUAUUUAACAGAGUCAAUCCUCAAUUCAAUGUCCUAUCUCCAUAAAUAACCAAAAAAUAAAUAACUUUAUCUACUUCUAGAAAUACUCUUAGCUUUACUCUCUCUCUCUAUAUGUAUAUAUAUAUAUAUAUAUAUAUAUACGUAUAUAUAUAUAUAUANUAGAGAGAGAGAGAGAUUAUGUGUGUAGUGCUUAAUUAAUUGUCUCAUUCAUGCACUUAAAAUAGAGAGAGAGAGAGAUUAUGUGUGUAGUGCUUAAUUAAUUGUCUCAUUCAUGCACUUAAAAUAGGUAGGUACAAAGUAAGGAUGGGUAAGAGCUUUAAAUUCGGCGCUUUGUCUGGUUGGUUGAACUCCACUUGCACUGCUUCAUGUAUCAGUCUUUUUUAAGAGAAUAUAUGUGAUUCAUUGGACAUGAAGCAAAAGGACAAACACACACACACACAUAUUUAUAUUAUAUAUAUAGAGAGAGAGAGAGUCGGGCUAGCUACUAUACUCUUAAUAUAGAUCCUUUUAUGCUCAUAAAUUUUCGACCGUUAGAUUCUUUUAUAUUCAUAAGAGUAUAGUACGUAGUUCUGGUAUAUAUAUAUAUGAGUUCGGCUAUCGAUAGUAUCAAGUUUUUGAUACUAUCGAGUUUUCUACCGUUCAGAUCUAUCCUUUAAUUAUUUUCACUCAUUUAAUUAUACUAUUCAAAUCAACCACCCACCCAACCUUAGAAAACUACUAUUAUUAUAACCACACUUUCUUUUAUCUAACAGUUAAAAACUCGAUAGUACCAAACGCUUGGUACUACCGAUAGUAUAGUAGGAUAUUUUACUAUUUUACUGAUACACUAAUCAAAAGGACAUCACCAAUUGAAUGGCUACUAAAUUUCACAUGAAAGUAGUUUAAUUCAUAGGUGGAAUAAUGAAAAGAACUAACAGGAAACUGCCACAUAUAUUUUGAGUUUAUUUUCCAAAAAAAUUAAGCUGGUAGAUAAAAAAAAUUCUUAUUACGUAACGGUCACGAUUCUUGACUACUAAUUAAUGUGGGUGUGCUUUGUACUGUUUUAGUGCUUAAUUUUUAAUCAAGCCCUACUAUUAUUGUCCUUAUCUGCAUUGAUCUAAAGAGCUUCUGGAACAAGCUAGUGCGCCGAAGAACAUAUAUAGAAAUGGUUCUUUUCGCAUUUAGAACUUAUCAAUAUGGGAUGGUUUAUCUCUCUCUCUCUCUCUCUUCUAACUAUUUGAUCACAAGUGAAUAGAAUAUUAUAUAUAUAUAGACACACAAAUACAAUGUAACUAGGACAGCAUAUUCUAAGAUGUUGUUAGCACUUAGUACCACUUCUAGUGUAAAGCCGACCACAGUAUAAUUUUAAAGUAUACUUUAAACAUAGAAAAAAAAAAAAGAGAAUUAAGAAGAGAGAGGAAGUGUAAGAAUCUCUCUCUCUCUCUCUCUCUCUCUCUAUAUAUAUAGAUAUAUAGUGCCUAUGUACUAUACUUUCGAAAGUACAGAGAAGUUGAUGGUUUAGAUAUUUUGGCCAUUAAAUUAAGAAUUAUAAAGUUAGGAUGAUAGCAGUUCUUUUUUAGGAUAUAGUGGUUCCCGUAGAGUUUAGUAAUCCCCUAGAGGAAUAGUAUUAAUUCAAGGGAUAAAAAUAAUCAAAGAGUUUGAUUUAAGGGUUAAAAAAUUAGAAGCACCAUAAUCGGACUCUCUCUCUCUCUCUCUCUCUCUCUCUCUCUCUCUCUCUCUCUCUCUAUAUAUAUAUAUAUAUAUAUAUAUAUAAUUAGGCUACAAUACUAUUGAUAGCUCUAAGUAAUUAGUGUUAUUAGAUUUUCAGCACUUGGAUGAAAGGAUAUGCAAUUAGCAUAAUAAUGAUUCUCUAGGGUUGAGUGGGUGAUUUGUUGAAUAGUAUGAUAUAAUAGGUGAAAAUUGUCAAAUGAGUAAAUCUAACGGCAGAAAACUCGAUAGCACCAAGCGUAAUACUAUCGAUAUUAUAGCAUCCAGACGUAGAUUUGGCGGUGUUGGCUUAAAGGGGCAGCAUUCUGCCCUACGGCGGAAAGCCAAAUUGGGUUAGAGUCACGUUCGAAAGGUUAGAAAGCCGGAUCCGAAUGAGUCAUGUUCGAAAUGUCGUGAGGUUGGUUGAGCUAAGUUACAUCGAGACCCGUAGGCACUAUCUAUACGUUUUAAGUAAAUCGGUCGCAUAUUUCUAACAGCUCGAGCUUUAAAGAUUAAUAGUUUGCACUAAUGACACGAAAAGUGGUAUCAGAAUCAGAGGUCACGAUUUCGAUUUCCUCAUAUUGAGAGUUUAUUAAGUGCUGGAGGAAGGAUUAUUGGCCUGAAAAGGCCUACAUCCUGCCCUGUAACGUGAGGCAGCUGGUUGGGCCGAGUCACAUCGAGACCCAUGGGCGCUGCGUCUACACACUUUAAAUAAAUUGAUUGUUUAUUCCUAACAACUCAAUGCUGGAGGAAAAAUUGCUGGCAUAAAAAAGCCAGCAUCCUGCCCUGUGGAGUACUGAAGCUAAUUGGGUCAAGUCACAUCGACACCCGUGGGUGUUAUAUUUGUAUGUUUUAAGUAGACGAUCCGGGCUGAGACAAAGGUCACGGGAUCGAUUCCGCAUGCUAAAAUUUAUGCAUGCAGGUGCUGGAAGGAGGAUAGUUGGCUUAAAAGGGCCAACAUCCUGCCUUAUCGAGACAUGUGGGUGCUGUGUUUGUAUGCUUCCGACAGCGGCCGCCGUUUCCAACUUUUCGAUGGUUAUGUAUAUCUUUCCACUGUUAGGAUAAUUCGGCGCCGUAUUCAGCUUCGCUGAUCAUUGUCUUGUUAGAAGUCGGCGUCGUUUUCAGGACUUCGAUAUCUAUGAAUCAUGCUGUCUCUCUCUAUAUCUAUACUCGUUUAUUCUCCAACUUAAUUUGGCUUUUCUUUACACUUUUUUAUCUUCUGAUUUCGGCGCCGAGACUGACGCAGUUGCCGGCUUUCUCUCUCAAAGAAUCUAGAAGAUGAGAAUUUUUGCGUGCCCCCGAAGCUGCACCAUACACCGCACUCGUAACAUAUAUACCUCUCACUACUAUUCAAAAUUUGUAAAUUUACCGCUCUAUUUACAAAAAAUACUCUUUCAAACUCCGAAUCUCGUUAGUAAACUCUAGAGUUAGGGUUGUACUCGAUGUUUUUGAAGUUUUAAAAGAUAUAAUUAGAUAUUAUCCAAAAAUCUAAUAUAUAGGCCUUAAAAUCAGAAGCGUUAAUUCAUGCAUCAAACGAGUACAAAAUAAAUACUAUAUAGUUUUUGUUUCAAUCCAAGUUCCAUUGUUUAAAAUGCUCUUACCUUUAGUGGAAAUUGUCAUAUACAUUAGUACUUACCACAAUAUUUGCCACGAAAAUGGUAACAAGCUAAUUUCAUCUUCAUUUCUGAGAAAUAAAAACCUAACUGGAAAUAUAAAACAACAGAGUAUCGUAUUUGGUAUCUUAGAUAUCAAUCAUCGAAUCUUUAGUCAAGGGUGCUAUGUACGGUCGGUGAUCGUUAAAACUAUAUAGUAAUUAUUUUGUUCUCGUCUUUUGUAUAAUAAUAUAUAUCGUAUCAGAAUUUAAUUUUAAGAUAUUAAUAACAAAACACUAAAAAAGUGCAUGUAACUAGAGAUGCAGAUGGAUUUGGAUUGAUGGAGCUCCCACAUCGAUUGGCCCUGAAUGGAACAGUAAGUGAAAACCACAACAACAAAAAAAGAUAAUCUGUCCUGAAUUCGCCAAGAUAUGCGAGAAAAAUUGAGCCGAAAGUGGGGGAGACCCCAUCUUUCGCUUUAAACAGCAGCAAAUAACUUAUUUUGAAGGCUAAAUUACAGAAACCCUCUAUAAAUAUUCGUUUUUUUAAUUUUUUUUUUCUAUGACUUUUAAAAAUCUAUAUUUUAUUCUCUUUAAACUUUAGAAAUGUUUUCAGAGGAAUACGGCAUAAAUGGAGAGAGAACAAAAAUGACCAAAUUACCCUUAUUUCUUAUAUAAGAAAAUGUCAUUUUUUAUUAAAUUUCUGUCAUUUUGAAGAGUAUUUUUGAUGUAAAUUAUAAAAAAUGAACGGAAUAGUGAUGAAACCCUGACGGAAAGUGAUUAAAUUCAACAACUUGAAAUAUUGAGAGGAUAAAUAUAGAUUUUUAAAAGUUAGAAAAGAAAAGUAAAAAAACGAGUAUUUAUAACAAAAUUUUCUAUAAUUUAGUUCAAAAAAUAAGAUAAAAACCAAUCAAUCCCAAAUCUACCCUGACCAAUCCAAAAAAAGGGUAUAUACACUGGGUGCAAGCAAUAAUUUUUAUUCUAUAAGAAUUUCAAAAAAAAAAAAAAAAAAAAAACCAAUCCACUUAUUUAUUUAUAUUAUUAUUAUUGUCCCCUCGAUCGUACAAAGCACGUACACGUGUCACCCAAAUCGCUUUCCUCUUUUAUUAUAUUUAUUCCCACAACUCAAAAAGUAGUGUUGCACCUGUUUAGUACGUCUCCAUCACCCUUAUCCUUAUCCAUCAUCCCUUGCGAUCUCGCCACGUGGAUUAUUCUUCGCCGUGCGAUCACAGCCUCCCUAUUUUAGGUCGGCUCCCACGAUCCCCGUGUCCCACGUGGCGUCGCGCUGGUGGGGCCCACCGCGCACCCUGACGUAAUGCCCGUCCCACGUGUACGGCUCCCGGAGCAUGCACGCUCUUUUACGCGACACGUAGCCGAUCACGUACUAAUUAUUGCAUAAUAAUUAAACACCAAACUAAAUUACUAACACACACUAAAAAUUGAAUUUUAAAUUUAUCAAAAUUUUAAAUUUUUUAAAUAGAGGUUUGAAAAAAAGCUGAGUUUGGUGUAAAUGCAUUUUUAUAUUUCUAUAAUUUAAAAAGUUAUGUUUUUUAUAUUUAUUAUACCGAAAAGGGUUAUCAUCAGCAGCUCCGCUAUCUUAGUCACGUCGGGAAUCAAAUCACAUGCGUUGCUGCGAAUAUAUAACAACAAAGGCUCAGCUUCUGGAGAUGCCGAUUGAUUGAGUUUGAUUCGAUUUCGGCAAAAUGAAAAAUUAAAAUUAUCAAUCAAAAACUAAAAUCUGAAAUUGAAAUUAUAGCCUUUCAAUUUUCAAAAUUUGAAGUCGUAAUUGUAAUCAUUUAAUUUCAAAAUUUUAAAAUUAUAUAUAAUUAAAAAAUCAAAUUCAAAUUCAAAACCAAAAUCAAAGGCACAACCUCAAAAUCAAAUUAUAUAUAGUAUAUUUAUCAGCAAGUAAAAAUUUGCCGAUAAGUAAAAUUCGGAAUCUUCGAUUAUUAUUAAAUAAAAGAUACAAUAUUUAACUUUGUUAGAAACGUAUAAAACUCAUUGAACUAUCGACCAUUUUAAAUUGAUUAAAAAUUUUGAAUUUACAUACUAUUCAACUUUUAAUUUGUUCGAUUUUAGUCAGCCAGCAAUACUUUAAGCUAAUUACUUAUUUUAAUCAACUUUAAAAGAUUGAAUAGUCAAAUCAAAAUAAUUCAUAGUUCACAUAAGUUAUUUUCAUUUUUACCAUUUAAUAUUUUGAUUUAAAACUAUUAUGCCAAAAUCAAUUAAUUAACUCAAGAAGCUGUGUGUGUAUAUACAUAUAUAUAUAUAAAUAUAUAGAUAGAGUUGAGCUAAAAUACUAUCAGGAGCAAAUAGGCUCUACUGUGAUCCAUUUAUUUUCGAUGAUAGAGACUCCAAAAUCGACGAUCGGCACAGUUGAACAUGAUCUAUACCGUUUGAAGCAUUUAGAAAUCAAUUCUCAAGUCUUUUCGAUAUCAGUGACCUAAUAAUCAAGAGAUUUCAAAUUUUAUAGUUUUAAUGGUCAAUAUGAGACAUUUUUUUAUUUAAUGGUGUAAAGAUAUUCAAACUAAUUGAAUUUGGUUAGAAAAUUUCUUAAACUAUUUAAAACAAGAUCUAUACUUUUGAUCUUAAUUACAAGAUUUCUACCAUUACUUUUCAUAAGUUAUUCAUUUUCAGCUGUACAUUUUUGCAUUUACUUGAUGGAGGAGAACAAUUCAAAAAAAAAAAAAAAAUUUAAUUUCUAGAUGCUUCAAAUGGUAUAGAUUAUGUUCAAAAGUGUCAAUCGUCCAUUUGGAGGUUUCAUCGUCAAAAAACAAAUGGAUCACAAUAAAACUCAUUUGUUACUAAUAAAAGUCUGUUUCGGAUUCGAGUUCAGUUCAGAAAAUUACAUAAACUAUAAUUAUACCAAUAAUUAUUUUUUUGGUUUUAAAUAUUUUUUUCAAUAUCCGAAAACCAUUUCUAUUUAUUAGAUUCGAUAUGGACCGCACCGAUAUAUAUAUAUAUAUAUAUAUAUAUAUAUAUAUAUAAAAUAUGUUGAGUUUGGGUUUUGGAUAAAAAUUCGGGCAUGUGUACCCAAUCAACAUUCGCAAUAGUUUUAGAUCAUGGUAGGGGACUUAUCCUGUCCAGCUGAACUGUCACGAUCACCCUCUCGACAAAGAUAAGGNAUAUAUAUAUAUAUAUAUAUAUAUAUAUAUAUAUAUAUAAAAUUUGUUGAGUUUGGGUUUUGGAUAAAAAUUCGGGUAUCUGUACCCAAUCAACAUUCGCAAUAGUUUUAGAUCAUGGUAGGGGACUUAUCCUGUCCAGCUGAACUGUCACGAUCACCCUCUCGACAAAGAUAAGGUGGCAGAUACAAGCCUGCACGAUUUUAAAAGCAUGGAAAAUAUUGCAAUAAUAAAGGUGCCAAAAAUAAAAAAGAAAAAAAAAAGGAAAAAAAGUUAAACUUAAAAUUAAGGCUUAAUUACCCUCUACUAUAUUAUAUUUUAGUGUUAUUUUUAUUUACUAAUUGUACUUUUUUUGCCAAAGAUAUUAUUAUUUUAUUGUAUUUUAUCAAUUUUUAUACUAUAUUUUAAAUAUAUUUUUACUAUUCUAUCUUGUAUAUCUUUUCUCAUAGAUAUCAUUAAUUACCCCCCUUUUUUUUUUCGCCGAUCUCUAUAUUACUACUGAAUGAUCCUUUGUUUGAAACAAAAUCUAACAACAACUUUAUUAAAAAACACUGUUAAAUAGUGAAAAGAAAAAUGCAAAACAAAUCUUUAUGGUAGAUUCAUUACAAGUUUCUAUUAAAUUAUUUUUAACUAUUUUUUGUUAUUUUUUUAUGUCAAAAUGAGUUGAAUAUAUUAUGCUAUUUUUAACCAGUAUUUUUUACUAAUUUUUUAUAUAAAAUUACAGGUUUAAUUAUCACUUAUAAUGUAGGAAUUGGAAAGAAAAAAAAAAGAAUAAUUAAGUGGCGUCUUUCAAAAAAAAAUAGUACAGUGUAGAAAGUAAAGAAACCAGUAAGGUACAGUGUGAUAUAGUGUAAUUAAAUCUAAAAUUAAAAGAAAAAAAAACAUUCUUGUGGAAAUGAUUUAUCACAAGUACUAACAAGCUUGCGUAGAGAAGCCAAAAUUUCUCAAUGCAUAUGACUUUAAAAAGACAGUCAAAGAAUCUGGGCCAAAUUAAUCUGCAAGUGUGAUUUGAUCUCGAGACCAUAUUUAUAUCUGACCCAAUAAUAAACGAUAAAGAUGGUUUGACGAUAUGCACCAUUUAUAUAUAUAUAUAUAUAUAGAGUUGAGCUAGAAUACUAUCGGUAGCAAACAGGCUCUAUUGCCACCCAUUUGUUUUCGAUGAUGAAGCCUCCAAAUCAACGAUCGGCACCGUUGAACAUGAUCUAUACCACUUAAAGUAUUUAGAAAUCAAAUUUUAUGUUUUUUCGAUAUUGUUCUCUUGGGCAUCAAGUGGGCGUAAAAAUGAACGGCUGAAAAUGAAUAUCUUCUAAAAAGUGAUGAUAGAAAUUUUGUAAUCAUGAUCAAGAGUAUAGAUCUUGUUCUAAAUAGUUUAAAAAAUUUUCUUACCAAAAUUCAAUUGAUUUAGAUAGCUUUACACCGUUAAACGAGAAAACGCCUCAUAUCUACCAUUAAAAUUACUAAUUUUGAAACCCUUUGAUCAUUAGGUAAAUGAUGUCGAAAAGAUUUGAAAUUUAAUUUCUAAAUACUUCAAGUGAUAUAGAUCAUGUUCAACGGUGCCGAUCGUUGAUUUGGGUGGCAACGGAGCCGGUUUGCUACUGAUAGCAUUCCAGCUCAACUCUCUCUCUCUCUCUCUCUCUCUCCUCUCUCUCUCUUCUCUCUCUCUCUUCUCUCUCUCUCUCUCUCUCUCUCUCUCUCUCAUAUAUAUAUAUAAUAUAUAUAUAUAGACCACAAGUAAACUGCACUCUAUUGCGCGAAUAAAGAGUAGGGGGAUAAUAAGGCGCUUCUCAUUCUAGUAUUUUUUUUUAUUAAAAAAUUUACUAAGAUUCUAUUUGGUUUGCCCGUAAACUAGGUUGAUAUUGUUUUUACUUGAAAAAUGAUUUUUCGUUGUUUGGUUGCUCGUAAAAAAUUUGUUGGAAAUUUUUUUUACAAAUCCUCUGAAAAAAACAAAGUUUUGGUUUUCGCCGGUAGGAUGUAGAAAACGAAAACUUCCUUCUUGAAUCGCGGCUCACAGGGCGCUCAGAAAACGCGGUCCACAGAGAUGCCAAGUUCUCGUGGACCGCGUGAGUGUCCAAUGUGACGCACCCUCUCUCUCUCAUAAUAUUAUAUAUAUAUUAUAUAUAUAUAUAAUAUAUAUAUAUAAAUAUAUAUAUAUAUAUAUAUAUUAUAUAUAUAAUAAAUAGAACUAGGCUAAUAUACCAUAAUAGCCACCAAGCCAUUGGAAUUAAGAGAUGUGCGGUUAGGAUGAUGUGGGGGCGCCCUAGGGUGAUGGGUGGUUGUGAAUAGUAUGAUCCAACGGCGUGAAAAUGAUAAAAGGGUAGAUUUGACGGCGAAAAAUUUGGUAGCAGCAAGUGCUUGUACUAUUAAUAACAUAGUAACCGGACUAUAUAAUAUAUAUAAUAUAUAAGUACUGGAGCUCGGUAGAUAGUGUUGUCCUUCGAUCUUAGGGCGUUCAAAUCAACGAUCCACACCGUUAAAUAUAAUCUAUGGUAUAUGAAGUUAUUAGGAAUAAAAUUUUAGCUUUUUUCGAUGUUGUUUACUUUGUAAAUAAAUUAUGUCAAAAUAGACGGUGGAAAUUGAAUACUAUUUAAAAUUUGAGCAUAGGACUUUUAAAUUCAAGAUCAAGAAUGUUAACCUUAAUCUAUAUAGUUUAAAGUAUUUUUUAUCAAAAUUUAAAGAAAUUUAAAUUCUUCUACACCGUUAAACUCCAAACUCGUCAUAAUAGCCAUUGAAAAUUGAGAAUUUUGAAAUGGUUUGAUAAUAAAGUAAACAAUGUCGAAAAAAUAUAAAAUUUUAUUUCUAAAAACUUUAAAUACCCUAGAUCAAUUUUAACGGUGUUAAUCGUUGAUUUGAACACCCUAAGAUCGAAAACAAGACUAUAGUACCGGAGCCCCGGUACUAUAGAUAGUAUAGGAGACUAGCUCUAUAUAUAUAUAUAGUAGAGUUACUAUACUAUCGGAAACAUAGAGGAUCUAGUACUUCCGAUUUUUUGGCCUUUAGAUCAACUCAUUUAAUCAUUUCUAAUCUUUAGAUUAAUACUAUUACCCUAUGGGGACCACUCAACCCUAGGGAUACUACUCAAUCUUGGGAGGAUCGCAACCAUUCCAACCAUACAAUUCUUAAUUCAAGGAUUAAAAAGUCAGAAGCACCAGACUCUCUAUACUUUCUAUAACAUAGUAGCUCUACACUAUAUAUAUAUAUAUAUAUAUAUAUAUAGAGUGAGGCUACUAUGCUAUCGGAAGCACGGAGCCUUCCGUGCUUCCAGCUCGUUUUCGAUGUUGUGACUUUCGAAUCGUCGAUCGGCUCCGUUAAACUUGAUCUAGAGUAUUUGAAGUACCUAGAAAAUAAAUUUUAUGAUUUUACAAUAUCAUUUGCCUAGUGAACGAAGGAGCUUAAAAUCAACGGCUGAAAAUAAAAAUCUUACAAAAUAUGAUAAUAUGACAUUAAAAUUUUAAAUCAAAGAUAUUGAUCUUGUUUUAUAUAGUAUAAAGAAUUUUCUAUCAAAAUUUCACGUGAUUUGGAUAUUUCUACACCGUUAAACUUGCAAACGGCUCACUACGACCAUUGAAAUUUGUUGAUUUUGAGCUCAUUCGAUCACUAGGCAAAUGAUACCGAAAAAUAAUAAAAUUUAUUUUCUAGGUACUUCAAAUACUCUAGAUCAAGUUUAACGAAACCGAUCAACGAUUCGAAAGUCGCAACAUCAAAAACGAGCUGGAAACACGGAAGGCUCCGUGCUUCCGAUAGCAUAGUAGCCUCACUCUAUAUAUAUAUAUAUAUAUAUA